AGGGGUAGAGCUCCGUGGUAGAGCAUGUGCUUCGUGUGCAUGAGGUCCUGGGUUCAAUCCCUCGUGCCUCCG
rnacentral:tRNA from 1 species